AGGGUACAGUCGCGUCCAGAGAGUUACGCACUUUGAAGCGUGACUUUGAAAGGACAAAGGAUGAAUUGGCCAAAGUUGCCCUAUCAAAUCGAGCGCUUCGCGACAGAGUGCAUCAGUUGGAAGACAAGGUACGGAAGGAGUCAAUGAAAGCUGAAAAAGAGUUCGAAAAAAAUAAAAAGUGUGUGGAGGAUUUCCGCAACACCCUGGCUUCAAUGGAGCAUUAUUUUAAGUUGGAGAUAGAGCAGCUGAAAAAACAAAAUGGUGGGGUGAAUGAAGCUGGGGAAGGACAUGAGGACCUCGGUAGUCCUCAUAUGAAUGAAGGAGGCAACAAUGACUUGUCGCCAUUACAUGCCUAUGUUAGUCCGCCUACAGAACCGGCAGUAAUGGAAACACAAGUCCCCGGUGAUGGAGCCGAACCUUCCGCAGCCAUGGUAGUUGAAGAGGCAAAAAUGGCCGCUUUAGUUCCUCACUUAGAAGUGCAUGAAGUAGCUGACCCGGCACAAUCCGAGAAGCUGCCUACCCCGGAAGAUGUGGCCGGGUGUGACGAAAUCUGCCAAAGAGUCAUGAAGCUGUUAGAAGAUUGGAAAAUCACUAAGAGUAUGCCAUCGGGAGGUUUGAUGAAUCCUCCAAGUCUACCCACAGUUACUAUGGCUGGUGAUGAAGAAG
rnacentral:lncRNA from 1 species